AGAGUUUGAUCAUGGCUCAGGACGAACGCUGGCGGCGUGCUUAACACAUGCAAGUCGAGCGAUCGGCCGGUGAGGGGUAACCCGAUCCGGUACGGAGCGGCGAACGGGUGAGUAACACGUGGGCAACCUGCCCCAGGCUCUGGAAUAACCCCGGGAAACCGGGGCUAAUGCCGGAUACGCUCGCAGGGUCACAUGGCCCGGCGAGGAAAGAACUUCGGCCUGGGAUGGGCCCGCGGCCUAUCAGCUUGUUGGUGGGGUAACGGCCCACCAAGGCGACGACGGGUAGCUGGCGUGAGAGCGUGGCCAGCCACACUGGGACUGAGACACGGCCCAGACUCCUACGGGAGGCAGCAGUGGGGAAUCUUGCGCAAUGGGCGAAAGCCUGACGCAGCGACGCCGCGUGAGGGAAGAAGGCCCUCGGGUUGUAAACCUCUUUCGGCAGGGAAGAAGCCGCAAGGUGACGGUACCUGCAGAAGAAGCCCCGGCCAACUACGUGCCAGCAGCCGCGGUA
rnacentral:rRNA from 1 species